rnacentral:rRNA from 1 species
GUUUGAUCCUGGCUCAAGAUGAACGCUGGCGGCGUGCCUAACACAUGCAAGUCGAACGGGGAUACUUUAGUAGUAAUACCGAGGUAUUCUAGUGGCGGACGGGUGAGUAACGCGUGAGCAACCUGCCUUUCAGAGGGGGACAACAGCUGGAAACGGCUGCUAAUACCGCAUAAUAUAUUUGGACGGCAUCGUCUGAAUAUCAAAGAUUUAUCGCUGAAAGAUGGGCUCGCGUCUGAUUAGCUAGUUGGUGGGGUAAGAGCCUACCAAGGCGACGAUCAGUAGCCGGACUGAGAGGUUGAACGGCCACAUUGGGACUGAGAUACGGCCCAGACUCCUACGGGAGGCAGCAGUGGGGAAUAUUGGUCAAUGGGGGAAACCCUGAACCAGCAACGCCGCGUGAAGGAAGAAGGCUUUCGGGUUGUAAACUUCUUUGACAGGGGAAGAAAAAAAUGACUGUACCCUGAAAACAAGCCACGGCUAACUACGUGCCAGCAGCCGCGGUAAUACGUAGGUGGCAAGCGUUAUCCGGAUUUACUGGGUGUAAAGGGCGCGUAGGCGGGCAUGCAAGUCAGAUGUGAAAUCUAUGGGCUUAACCCAUAGCGUGCAUUUGAAACUGUGUGUCUUGAGUGAUGGAGAGGUAAGUGGAAUUCCUAGUGUAGCGGUGGAAUGCGUAGAGAUUUGGAGGAACACCAGUGGCGAAGGCGGUUUACUGGGCCACAUCUGACGCUGAUGUACGAAAGCGUGGGGAGCAAACAGGAUUAGAUACCCUGGUAGUCCACGCCGUAAACGAUGAGUGCUAAGUAUCGGAGGAUUCGGUGCUUAAGCUAACGCAGUAAGCACUCCGCCUGGGGAGUACGGUCGCAAGACUGAAACUCAAAGGAAUUGACGGGGACUCGCACAAGCGGUGGAGCAUGCGGUUUAAUUCGAUGCAACGCGAAGAACCUUACCAGGUCUUGACAGUGUAAAGAAUACUUAAGAGAUU